GGUUAAAGGUACCCGUACCGCAAACCGACACAGGUGGGUGAGGAGAGUAUCCUAAGGCCAGCGAGAGAACUGUUGUUAAGGAACUCGGCAAAAUGACCCCGUAACUUAGGGAUAAGGGGUGCCACCAUCAGGUGGCCGCAGAGAAUAGGCCCAAGCGACUGUUUACCAAAAACAUAGGUUUCUGCUAAGUCGCAAGACGAUGUAUAGGAGCUGACGCCGGCCCGGUGCUGGAAGGUUAAGGGGAUCUGUUAGAGCAAUCGAAGCAGUGAACUUAAGCCCCAGUAAACGGCGGCCGUAACUAUAACGGUCCUAAGGUAGCGAAAUUCCUUGUCGGGUAAGUGCCGACCCGCACGAAAGGCGUAACGAUUUGGGCACUGUCUCAACAACAGACACGGUGAAAGUGUAAUUCCGGUGAAGAUGCCGGAUACCUGCGACAGGACGGAAAGACCCCAUGGAGCUUUACUGUAGCUUGACAUUGGGUCUUGGUACUACAUGUACAGGAUAGGUGGGAGGCUUUGAAACCAGGACGCCAGUUUUGGCGGAGCCAUCCUUGGGAUACCACCCUUGUAGUACUGGGACUCUAACCAUAGGCCAUGAAUCUGGUCUUG
rnacentral:rRNA from 1 species